CUUAAGUUUGUUUUCACAAGAAAGCUCAAUUUAAUUUUCUAUGCUAUUUUUACUAUUAGUAUAUCUACUAUGUUUGUUCAAUCCAUUCAUAAUUUAUACGAUUAUUUUUAGGAAAAUACUCGUCAAAUGAUUUUUUAAAGGCUGUUAAAUGUUCAUAUACUAACUCAGCAAUGUCUUCAUACUAGUAUAAUUUUAAACAGAAGACUUAUUGCAAUCCAGUUUUAAAUCUUAUGGACAAAAAUUAGUUUGAAACCCACCAAUUAAAGACCACUGGUUUAAAUGAUUAAAUAAAAUUUAA